rnacentral:rRNA from 1 species
CAUGGCCUACGGGACGCAGCAGUGGGGAAUAUUGCACAAUGGGGGAAACCCUGAUGCAGCCACGCCGCGUGAGUGAAGAAGUAUUUCGGUAUGUAAAGCUCUAUCAGCAGGGAGGAAGAAAGACGGUACCUGACUAAGAAGCCCCGGCUAACUACGUGCCAGCAGCCGCGGUAAUACGUAGGGGGCAAGCGUUAUCCGGAUUUACUGGGUGUAAAGGGAGCGUAGACGGCUGUGCAAGUCUGAAGUGAAAGCCCGUG